rnacentral:rRNA from 1 species
AGGAUGAACGCUGGCGGCGUGCUUAACACAUGCAAGUCGAACGAUGAAAGCCGGAGCUUGCUCUGGCUGGAUUAGUGGCGAACGGGUGAGUAACACGUGAGUAACCUGCCCCAGACUCUGGGAUAAGCGCUGGAAACGGCGUCUAAUACCGGAUACGAGCUUCAGCCGCAUGGCUAGGAGCUGGAAAGAAUUUCGGUCUGGGAUGGACUCGCGGCCUAUCAGCUAGUUGGUGAGGUAACGGCCCACCAAGGCGACGACGGGUAGCCGGCCUGAGAGGGUGACCGGCCACACUGGGACUGGGACACGGGCCCAGACUCCUACGGGAGGCAGCAGUGGGAAUAUUGCACAAUGGGCGCAAGCCUGAUGCAGCAACGCGCGUGAGGACGACGGCCUUCGGUUGUAACCUCGUUUAAGUAGGAAGAAGCGAAAGUGACGGUACCUAGACCAAGAAAACGCAACCGGACUAACGUACGUGCCGAGCGACGCCGAC